GGGAAAAGAAAGUCAAAGUACCACAUGCAAUCAGUCUCCUGAUUCAGGCCAAAAAUCCUAGCAAGGAAAGGUGAUCGAUCACAUGGCCAGGAUAAAAGGCUAUACCCUACUUAAAGGAAAACAGAGGGCCUAGGGUAAAAAC